UACGUAUGGUGCAAGCGUUAUCCGGAUUUACUGGGUGUAAAGGGAGCGUAGACGGAGUGGCAAGUCUGAUGUGAAAACCCGGGGCUCAACCCCGGGACUGCAUUGGAAACUGUCAAUCUAGAGUAUCGGAGAGGUAAGCGGAAUUCCUAGUGUAGCGGUGAAAUGCGUAGAUAUUAGGAGGAACACCAGUGGCGAAGGCGGCUUACUGGACGGUAACUGACGUUGAGGCUCGAAAGCGUGGGGAGCAAACAGG
rnacentral:rRNA from 1 species